rnacentral:lncRNA from 1 species
AUUUCCUGAAGCCUCCCAAGAAGCUGAGCAGUUGUUGCCAUGCUUCCUGCACAGCCUGCAGAAUCAUGAGCCAAUUAAACCUAUUUUCUUUAUAAAUUACCCCAGCCUAAGUUAUUUUUUACAGCAAUGUGAGAACUGACUAAUACAACUGGAUUCCAUAGAAUCCUUGGAAUUUGUUUCAACAUUCUUCUGAAUCUCAAGGAUCUUAAUUGCUAUCCAGACUCCAGAUUCUAUGUCUUUUACUUCAGCUAUUUCCUUCUGAUUAAUAACCAUUGCUGGAGAGCUGUUGUGGUGUUUGGAGGCAUAUCCUGAUCAUCAUCUACUAGAACAGCAAGAGAAGGUUGGAAGACUGACAGCAGUUAUUAUUCUGAUUCAUUUUGGAGGACUUCACCAUUUUGGUUUCAUCUUGGAGCACUGACAGCAGUUUUCCACUAAGCCCCACUCUGUGCCAUUUCAACUUCGAGGUUCUUUAAGAUAAAACUGGAUGUGCGAGUUCAAAGGUCUACAUUUUGCAAUACGAGAGAACAGCUGAAUUGAACUAGGGAGACAUGAAUUUGUCAUGAAUAAAUCUUGCAGAAGGACUGUAUUCAAACUAUGGAGAUAUGAUAUACAGUGAAUAUAUUUGUGGUUAGCAAAAUGAUGUUACAGUUUUAUGAUAAUAAAUUUCUUAUAAAAAAGAAAGAGUUCUAAUUUAUUGUAUUAUCUUUAGUAUCUUGCACAGUUCUGGCAUGAAUUAGAUAUUAAAACUUUCUACUCCAAAUUAAGCAAU